rnacentral:rRNA from 1 species
CCCUUAGAUGUUCUGGGCUGCACGCGCGCUACACUGAUGCACUCAACGAGUUUACGACCUUGCCCGAUAGGGUUGGGUAAUCUUUUUAAAAUGCAUCGUGAUGGGGAUAGAUUAUUGCAAUUAUUAAUCUUCAACGAGGAAUUCCUAGUAAGCGCGAGUCAUCAGCUCGUGCUGAUUACGUCCCUGCCCUUUGUACACACCGCCCGUCGCUACUACCGAUUGAAUGGUUUAGUGAGGACUCCUGAUUGGCGCCGCCGCCCCGGCAACGGAGCAGCGGACUGCCGAAAAGUUGUUCAAACUUGAUCAUUUAGAGGAAGUAAAAGUCGUAACA